UACAGAGGGUGCGAGCGUUGUUCGGAAUUAUUGGGCGUAAAGGGCGCGUAGGCGGUGUUGUAAGUCACCUGUGAAACCUCUAGGCUUAACCUAGAGCCUGCAGGCGAAACUGCAAUGCUGGAGGGUGGGAGAGGUGCGUGGAAUUCCCGGUGUAGCGGUGAAAUGCGUAGAUAUCCGUAGGAACAUCCGAGGCGAAAGCGGCUCGCUGGAUCACAACUGACGCUGAGAGACGAAAGCUAGGGGAGCAAACAG
rnacentral:rRNA from 1 species